UGGGGAAUUUUGGACAAUGGGCGAAAGCCUGAUCCAGCAAUGCCGCGUGUGUGAAGGAGGCCUUCGGGUUGUAAAGCACUUUUGUCCGGAAAGAAAUCCUCUGGGUUAAUACCUCGGGGGGAGUGACGGUACCGGAAGAAUAAGCACCGGCUAACUACGUGCCAGCAGCCGCGGUAAUACGUAGGGUGCAAGCGUUAAUCGGAAUUACUGGGCGUAAAGCGUGCGCAGGCGGUUUGCUAAGACCGAUGUGAAAUCCCCGGGCUCAACCUGGGAACUGCAUUGGUGACUGGCAGGCUAGAGUAUGGCAGAGGGGGGUAGAAUUCCACGUGUAGCAGUGAAAUGCGUAGAGAUGUGGAGGAAUACCGAUGGCGAAGGCAGCCCCCUGGGCCAAUACUGACGCUCAUGCACGAAAGCGUGGGGAGCAAACAGGAUUAGAUACCCUGGUAGUCCACGCCCUAAACGAUGUCAACUAGUUGUUGGGGGGUUCAUUUCCUUAGUAACGUAGCUAACGCGUGAAGUUGACCGCCUGGGGAGUACGGUCGCAAGAUUAAAACUCAAAUGAAUUGACGGGGUCAUAGCUGUUUCCU
rnacentral:rRNA from 1 species